rnacentral:rRNA from 1 species
AGUGAACGCUGGCGGUAGGCCUAACACAUGCAAGUCGAACGGCAGCGCAGUAAGAGCUUGCUCUUACGGGUGGCGAGUGGCGGACGGGUGAGGAAUACAUCGGAAUCUACUUUUUCGUGGGGGACAACGUAGGGAAACUUACGCUAAUACCGCAUACGACCUACGGGUGAAAGCAGGGGAUCUUCGGACCUUGCGCGAUUGAAUGAGCCGAUGUCGGAUUAGCUAGUUGGCGGGGUAAAGGCCCACCAAGGCGACGAUCCGUAGCUGGUCUGAGAGGAUGAUCAGCCACACUGGAACUGAGACACGGUCCAGACUCCUACGGGAGGCAGCAGUGGGGAAUAUUGGACAAUGGGCGCAAGCCUGAUCCAGCCAUACCGCGUGGGUGAAGAAGGCCUUCGGGUUGUAAAGCCCUUUUGUUGGGAAAGAAAAGCAGCAGGUUAAUACCCCGCUGUUCUGACGGUACCCAAAGAAUAAGCACCGGCUAACUUCGUG